AGGAGUAAAGGAGCCAGGAAUGAAGGAAUGGAGAUGAGCCCCCAAAGAAGAGGAAGUAAAUCAGUCACAUCUGAAGAAACUCAGAAGGAGACUUACUCAUGGAUCAGCAUGACGUCUUGGUGAUGGGAAUGGUACUGUCUCAGUUUAAGUUCCUGUGUGUAAACCCACUGUCAAAGAGAGGAUGCUCCUUCAGAAUGCACUUGACUCUCAGGAAGCUUUUUUCUUUCACCAGAUGCCUCUCAUGCCAAAACCCAAAAGGCUGAAGAAGGGUUUGCAGAAAUCUAUAGGUGGGUGGUGUAGCAUCUGAGACCUAUCAGGGAGUGGUGAAAGACAGCAGCUAUGAUGGCACUGCCAAUCCUCUCCUCUAGCCCAAGUUCUGCUUCUGUCUGAAAAAAAGACCCAGAACCAUUUUUUCAUUUGCUGAUCUUGUGAGAAGGGGAACCACCCAAGUCUCAUCUUGAAGUGCCUUUCCUCAUUAUAAAUGCAGAAGGCUGUGUCUGCCUUUACUGUGAUAAAAGAAAGGUGUCUUAGUAAUGAUACGGAGCCUCACUUCACAUGGACCAAUUCAAAUAUUUUGAAUAUAUGCGACAAAUAAAGCGAUAGAAGAAAAAGGAGGUUCUUAUCUUUCUACAAAAUGAACUUGUUUUUGGUUCAGUUCCUAGUGUGGGAGUUUCAUAAUAAUAAAUUAGGCCUCAAGUAAAGCUAUGGUGAAAAAAAAUGUGCUUAGUAUUUAUGCAACUGUUCCAUUCCUCCAUGUCCACAAAACAUAGCUAAGAAGUUGAAUAAAAACCCAAGUGUAAUAUUUGAAAACAAUUAAAACUGUUACUCAGAACAAGCAGCCAGUAAAUUGUUCUAACAGUUCCCUGGAGUAUUUAGAUAAUAGAGGCUGUGUAUCAUGUUGGUAUGCAGUGUUCAAGAAAAAAAGAAAAUUGUUUUACAGUAAGAACUGUGUUCAAAACACAUAUGAAAAGGAUUCAAGUAGAAUGUGCAGUUAUACCCACAGCUGUACAACCUCGUUUGGAAAAAGUUUACCCUUAGUUUAUAGAUUUUGCUCUCUUUUUUUCUUGUCAUUCUUGGCUUUGAGCCAGGCUUUGUUUCGGAUUUUUUUUCUUUCUGAGGAUCCUGUGCAGUUCAUGUUUUAAAAAUAAAAGAUUGCAAAAAUUAAUAAACAGCCUAGUAUCUAUUUAGUUUAAUAGUUCUGCCCAUGAUUUAGCAGAUGGAAACAUAGUCCAUGUCUGAGAAAUGUCACUUUUCUGAUGAAAUAUCUUGGAAGCAGAUUCCCAUUUGAGUUGAUGUCUUUCUCUACAUUGUAUUCCACUUACUUUUCUGUUUAGCAGGCAGCAAGAAACGCUGUAAAGUGUAGGCAUUUCCUAUCUGAAUAUCUGGUCCUAAGUAUCCCAGUCCACAUUAAUUUGGCUAAGUUUUUCUUGUGUGGUGUAUGGUCAUCAGUGAAUGUUUGUACCUGAAGAGUUGAACUUCUGAGGGAAAUCGAAAGCCUCUUUCUUCUAUUGCUGCACUGAAUGUCUUUUGAUAUCCCAAGGAAGAGACAUAACCACAUUUCAGAUCAUUGCCAGGGGGUUCCCAGAACAGAUCCAAUGCAAGUCUGAAGCUGCACAAGUAAGGGUUGUUUUUGUAAAUGUGGUCUGAAAAUUGAACUCCAGCAUUGAUGCGUGUGUAGCUAAUGGCCUAACAAUGUUGCUUGAACGAAAUUGUUCUCAAAUUAAUGGAAAAAUUGCAAAUGUGAGUUAAGAAACCGCCAAACUAGCAAGUUAGGAUAUGGGAAAAGUGGUUAGAAAUUGUACAGCAAUGUAUGUGUACAAAAAAGCCCACAAGAAGGGUAUAGAGCCAUGGAAAUGAUACCAUUGUACUUGCUGAGGUUAAGUUAAUGAACAAUACAGACAGAAUCUGUAAAUGGUAUCAUAUCACAAGUAUAUGAUUAUUGAUAUUGUAUUCGCUUUAAAUAUAGACCAAGUUCUAAAAAUAUGAAUUUUAAUAUUUAUUGAAAUCUCUGCAUCAGAGCUGUUUACAUACUUUGCUGAAGUCCAUAUUUAUCCUGAAAGUUACUCAAUUCGCUAUUCUGAAAUAGCUGUUUAUUUAUGAUAAGACUAUUACAAGGAUUUGUUUGCAGUUUUUACAAUUAAUUUUUUUUUCCUGACCACUCGGAGGCAGUUUGGAGUCUUAGAUAUGUGCUGAGGGAUUAAUCAUCAAGCAAUUAUAGAAAGUGGCAUCUUAGAAAAUGUAUGUAACGUGCUACAUUCACUAAGAUACACCUCCAGGCUGAAAAGGUCAGGAACAGACCUGAAUCGACUAAAGAAUCAACUAACCAUAAGCAGUCAAAGAAUUUAAGUAAAACUAGAUUAAAUUUCUAAUUGGAUAUUCUCUUCUAGUAGUGGAAUGAGCCUUGAGCUUGUCCACGUAAGCAGGUCCUCUACUACUUAUUCUUAUAAAUCUUACGGACUUAAUACAGCUAAGAAGAGCUAAGCUGAAUCUGACCGUGAUUCAUGUACAAAUACUGUUAAAUUGUUGGAUAUUUAUUGUGACUCUGCAGCUAGUGAAAGAUCAUUUUUUUCUUGCUUCUUCUUACAAACUCUGUAUGCAUUCUUAGUUGGCAUGGAUUGGUGGAGUCAUUCAGGCAAAAGUAUGGAGGCCCGUCUUUUACUUGGCUGUCGUUGGUUAAAAGAAGAAUAGAGAAGAAACAUGUAAGAACUCUAGAAAAGAGGUUAAACAACUGAACUCAAAAUAAUGAAGGAAAAAAGAACUGGCUUUAAAGUUUGCAUAUUUGUUGGACAAAAUUUUCUGUACAAAAGCUUGGUUGGUUCUAAUGCUGAUAUUUGAUUCCAGCUAUUAUUGUAAUAAGUGAAUAAAUGAUUAAGAGAAUAAGUGCUGGGAAAUACAGUAUUUCAUUGGAGUGGUGAAACAUUGAAUGUAUCUGGCAGCACAUUAUUAGGACCAAGGUAAUCAGGAGAGGACAAAUUUAAAAUAAAUAAAUUUUAAACUGCUUCCAUAAACAGCAGAAAUCUCUCAGUGGAAAUUCAGACCAUCUAUUCUCAAGAGCUGAAACAACUCAUUUGAACAACAGUUAUAAAACAUAACAAAGCCUUUAACAGGAAGUCUCUUCAGCCCUGACUCAAAAACUGUUUGCAAAAGGAAUAUGUGCUUUAUCAACUCAUUUUACAAUUUAAUAUUUAAUUUAAUAUAAUAUUUAUUUAAUAUUCCCGCUCAAUUCACAGAAUUAUUUUAUAUCAAAAACUUAUCUGUAAUUCAGAUGAAGACUCUUCCAAAAAGGGCUGAAUCAGUCCAUUCACUUCAGUUGCUGCUCAGUUAAUAGUUUAAGCUGAUGUAAGCCAGUCCUGUCAGAAGAAUCAGUCCCACUCACAGUUACCCACGACUUGCACCCACUCCCUCAUUCCAGCACAGCUGUCUGUGUGACUUUAAGGUUAGCUAAAUAAGGAGCUUGUGCAGAUCAAAAAUAACAUUUUUACUCAUUUCUUUCAGUCACAUAUUUCCAUGAUUGACUUCACUGCAUGGCUACACAAAUACUUGUGCAGGAGAAAGGAGCAGGACUCCUCUUGGCAUUGCGAAACAACUGUGGCCAUCCAAGCUCUAACAGUUUGCUCGGCUCACUCUGCUGAAGGUUUCCCAGUGUACACAUAUUCAGAGUAGAGGUUGCAAAACGAGAAAAAGAAUGUGUUUCUGCUGUUAAAAAUGAAAUCUGGACUCCUACCUAACUCACUGUUAUGAUCAAUUUAAGACAAUCCUCCAUAGUUUCCACAGAGGCCUAUAUUCUUCCCUCUGUGGAAGGAUUUAAUUUCAAGCUAAGGGGUGGAGUAGUCAUUGGACAAGUAGGACGUUUUUAGCUUCUAUGUCUUUUUAUCAGUGCUUUAGAUGCAGGAAAGCAGAAAUAAGAAUGGAAAGACCAUUCUUGUAGAAAACAGCUGUUCUGAGAUGUUUUUGAAUAUAGAUGGGCCAUUAAACAUGGUAACAGAGACAAAACUCCAAUGUCUUUAAGGAAUAAAAUGGAUCCCGAAAAAGGAAGACAGAAGAAAGACCUGCUUAAACACAGAGCAGGGACUUUGUACACUAGGUUUGGAGCCACAGAUAAUUGUAUGUGAAAUUUACAGCUGUGGUGAGGCAGGUUAAAAUAAAUUCAUCCUAACAGACACUGGUGGAAAGAGAAGAAGCUACUGAGAUCAGGAGUAUUGUCAGGCUAUUUUUUAUGCUAAAGUGAAAUUUAAAAGGAUUUUAUGUGGUUAGACCUAAGGAAAAUCUUUAGUGUUUUCCAAGAGAACACAAUGAAAAGAAGAGACCAAACAAAGAGAAGUAAAGAAUUGGGAAAUCAUACCCCCAGGAUGAGAAAACCUUACCACAUGUUGCUGAUAUUCCUGUAGAAGAAAAUAACUCCUUUCACUGUAGGCAGCUCUGAAUGUCUUUAUAACAAUAUGAAAACCAUUACAAUGCCAAUGCUGCUAAUAAAAAAGAUAAUGUGGAAGAGAUAAAAAGUGAAAGAGACAUUGUCAGGGCAAAUAAAAUUCUGGUUGCAUUAGUCUUGCUCAAAACACAGGAGUGUACAGUUAAUUUGUUACUGCCUUAAUGUUUUUAAUGAACUGCACAGGCAGUCUGUAGGAAAGCCAUCCAGAUCAUUAAGGUUUGCAAGAUUUUUUUUGAGGGAGAAUUGUUUUGCUGACCAGGUUAUUACUUCAAUAUCAGUAGCAAGCAGCAGCUCAACUCUGAGUCAGAAAGAAAGAGGCUAUUAUACAAAAAGAACCUUGCUUUUUAAGGUUAUCUUCACAAAGAUUUUUCCUUCCCCUGCUCCCACACCCAAAUUUUAGUCAGCUUAGUACUGAAUGAAAGAGUUUCUGCAGGAGACAAAAGAUCUCGGGUCUAAACGUUGUAAUGUUAUAUGGAAGGCCAGGUUCACCAAUAAGAAAGUUGCAUUUAACUAUCUAUAGUACCACAAUGAAAAAAUGGUAUAAAGCAUUAUUUGAAUACCUGGGGUUGGCCCAGAAAGGACAUGGAGGAGAAAAUUGCUAUGAAAUAGUGAAAGAUUGAGCAGGGAGAGCCGAGAAAGUAAUGUAGUUGAAACUCAAAUGCACAGCAGCUAUUUAUCAUAGCACCAGAAAAGAUGAAAUUUUCAGAGCAUGAAAAUGGCAAGUGAGUUACCUCUAUUUAUUUGAGAGAUAAGGAAAUUCAUAAAUACUUUACUUGAUAAGAUGGAUUUAAUAUUUGUGGGAUUUCUUUCAGUACCACCUAGUCUUCAGAAAAGUUGAUGAUACUCAAGGCCCACAAUGUAAAUAGCACUUAAAACCUAGUUCUAAAACUUUUAGUGGUAAAGGAAAAGCAUUUUUAGAAGGCUACAGAAUCAAUGGUUUAUAUAAUAAUAAAUAUAUAUAUAUAUUCUUUAAUAAAGAUCAGUACAUACAGAGACAACCCUACUACCUCCAUGUUGCUACCACAGAAUAAAAAUCUGCUGAAACGAGGUUGUAUAUUAUAGAAAGAAUCCCAGAAACUUAAUUUUUCAGAACGUCAGGUUGCCUUGGAACUGGGUAACCAAGGGACGUAACAGCUAGUUAAGUCAUGUUUUACAUAUUACAAUGUUUGUUAGGGUUAGAAAAAAUCCUCUGCAUGCUGUGGGAAAGUAUUGCUACAUUUUCCAUCUUGUCUUUUGCAGAAAUAAAUUCAUAUGCAGAGCAAGGGAUCAUUUCACCUCAUUCAACAAAAUGUGCAGCACAGAGCAGGUGUUCACGUUCUAAGGAAAAAUCAAAGAAAACAAACUCUGACACAAUAGAACUGACAGAAAAGUUCUCAAAGGAGUUUGCUAAUGCAAAAUUUUCUGUAAAAGGGUAUUUAGGUAUGCACAGGAUAAAUUAUACAUAUGUUCAAGUUUCAGUUGAUUUAUUCCUAUUCCUUUGUAUGUACUGACUAUUUAUUCUUGAAGACUCCUGACAGAUUCUUAUAUGCCACCUCAAGACUCUGGAUCAAGAGGCAUGUUGUAAAUUUGUCAUUGCAUUAUAAUUAAUUUUUUUAAAAUAAAAACUUACACAGUA